CUUCUUCGGCCUGCUGCGGCGCGAUGAAAUGGAUAUGGGUAUCGAUGCCGCCAGCGGUCAGGAUCUUUCCCUCACCGGCGAUGACAUCGGUUCCCGGGCCGAUGACGAUAUCGACGCCGGGCUGGAUAUCGGGAUUGCCAGCCUUUCCGAUUGCCGCGAUACGUCCAUCCUUGAUGCCGACGUCCGCCUUGACGAUGCCCCAGUGGUCGAGGAUGACGACAUUGGUGAUGACGAGAUCGACGACAUCGGCGGCGUUGCGCUGGCUUUGCCCCAUGCCGUCGCGGAUG
rnacentral:sRNA from 1 species